rnacentral:lncRNA from 1 species
UUCAUCCGUGACGGAACCCCCGGCGGCGGCGUCCACACCGAAGAAGCCGAAGCUGAACGAGGAUGAGGAGAAUCCAGGCGUGGAAGACGAGAAGUCCGAAGAGAACGCGGACGAAAUGGCGCCAUAGGAAAUGCUGACGACGGAGGCGGCAAGAGAGGCUCCCAGAGUGCGCGUACACGACUACGUCGGACUUCAGCCUCAAAUGGGGAAGGAGACCGCAGAGAGACUUGGGCUGGAAGUCGAGGACACGCGCCUCCACAACUAUGACACGAGGAAGGAAGGGCGCCACGCCAUCGCGGCAGUGGUAGUAUUUUUUGGCCUACCGACGUCGGAGCCGGUGCGAUUGCCGGACAGCGACGAAACUAAGUUGGUCCUGAUUAGGGACGAUCGACGAGGGCUGGACGUCUUUACGUCAUACAGUGUCCCGAGGGAACUGCCCACCGAGCUGGAACACGUGAUCUUCGGAGUCCCUGGUGAUCGCGUGUCGGCCGAAGUGGAGUCUGUGAUUUCGCACGUGGCGCGUUCCAUCCGACGUUCAGAAAGCAACCGGAGAAUUAGGCUGACAGUUUCGCCGGCAAUCCUUAACUCAAACAUUGGAGAGCAUUUCAUCACACAGAUGAAGCGACUGUUGAGGGCGAUGAAAACGUGCAAGGAGCCAUGCAUACUGCAUAUCAGCGUCGAAGGAUAUGUGCGAGACGUCCUGCCGAUGGAGACCGUAUGGGCGAACGAAAGCAUGGAGCAGGCCAUGGCGGAGCUCUCAUUCGAGAAUGCGGAAGAGGUUCCAGUGACGCAGGAAGAAGAGGAAGAUGUGGCAGUCUCGGAGACACUCGAGGUGAAGGAGGGUCCUGUGAGGCAGGAAGCAGACGAAGAUGAGGCAGUCUCAGAGACACUCGAGGUGAAGGAGGGUCCAGUGAGGCAGGAAGCAGAGGAAGAUGUGGCAGUCUCGGAGACACUCGAGGUGAAGGAGGGUCCUGUGAGGCAGGAAGCAGACGAAGAUGAGGCAGUCUCAGAGACACUCGAGGUGAAGGAGGGUCCAGUGAGGCAGGAAGCAGAGGAAGACGAGGCAGUCUCAGAGACACUCGAGGUGAAGGAGGACUCGUCGGAGCCUCAGGCGGCCGUGGUGGACCUGGCGCGCGUGUCGGAGGAGGAAGCGAAAUUCGCCAACGAAUACCCCCGCCUUUACAGGCAGAUCAUGAAGCUCACGAGCGAGGGAUACGUGAAUUCCGUCCGACGUACCGGGGACCGAACAGUGUACUUCAAUACACGGGGCGUCAAGCAGUGCCGGAACCGAGGACCGCACUUCUGGGACUCGGCGACCUUCGUGGUCAACGUCAACACGGGGCAGAUCAGGCAAACGUGCCACGCCGCUGAGUGCCGCCUUUCCGACGGCCGGAGCCGGUGGAUCUCCGAGCCGCUGCAAUUUGACUCGGACGAUGAUGAAGUGUUGCCAUAACCUGAGUUCUGCAAUCCUAACCUUUUCAUAUUCUUGUGUACUUAAAAUGGUCUUGUUUCUUGUUUAACAAAAGCUUCCCUCUUUUGGACUCUGACGAUGAUGAAGUCGUGGCAUAACAUGAGUUGUGCAAUCAUAACCUUUUAAUAAUCUUGUGUACUUAAAUGGUCUUGUUUCUUGUUUAACAAAAGCUUUCCUCUUUUUCCUCCACACUCAUUGAUUAUUUCUCCCUUUUCCUUCCUUUUUUUUCUCUCGGUAGUUUGGGUCGGUGGAUUAAAAAUUCAAUCAUCUUUUUAAGCGCACUGCUUUCAUAUGGAAUCGUUCAUUAUUUGAGUCGGUAAAAAUUGCUUCGGGUUUUUUUUUCUGAAUAUGUUAAUUUGAAGAUUCUCUCGAGCUCCUACGGACAAGAACGUGGACUCGGAAUCGACGGUGUAAGACGGGAAGAAGUUUAAAUUUUUUAAUGCUGAAGAAUUUUCUUUCAACGUAACUCGAGAAAUGACGGUAGUUUUAAGGAGUUGCAGUAGAGUAGUUGACUGUUUUAAAAGUAAAUUACUAGUAAUGCACGUGUGGUUGAAGAGUGUUGCACCCUAUAUCGGCUUGCUUGCACCCCUUGUAAUCUCUACUUGAGUAACAUCGUUUUCAAUCGAGUAGAAUGAGAGACGCAACGGAAACUUUGCAAGUAUCUAGCGGGAAAGCAAUAUUUCCUUUCUUUUCUUUUUGGGACGGGUCAUGUUGGGUGGAUUGUUGGACACGUGGGAUUCUCCCUUGUCGAUCCGUAGUGGGGGGCUAGGAUACGUGAUUUUGGUAAUCUCUUCGGAAACUAUCAUUGUUCAUAAUGAGGAUUCGUGGCUUUCAUGAAUUCUUUCGUAGAUUUAGUUGUUCGUAUCUCGAGUUGCUUUGUAAAAGUAUUCCACACCCCCUCUUGGGGAUGUUUUUACGCUGAAGUAGGAUGAGUUUUUUCUUUCUCGCUCGCUCCGCUUCGCUCCGCUCGGGUCCUCGCUUCGCUCGGAUGCGGGGUGUAUCGGCCCCUCGCUUCGCUCGGUUCCUCGGGGAGAAUCCUUGGACGUGUCGAACUUUCUGCUCAAAAUCCUGUGAUCGAUUAUUCAAAUGUCCUAUAAAAAAGUAGGAUUCUUCAUUUGACAUUAAUAUUGAUCCGUAAAACGACUGUACUUGGACAUGUCGGAUUUCAAGUUUGACAUAGUUGGACAUGAUUGUCUAACUCGAGGAUGGACAUGUCGUUUUUGUCAUUGGACAUUUUCCCCCAAACCAUGAUAUUUCACUGAUGUUGCUCGUGUGCAAGUGAGAGAUGGCCAUAUCAGUUCGAACGCUAUUGAGAGAGCAUCAUUACUAUGUAGAAUCACCACUGAAGUAGGAUGAGUUUAGUAGGAAAAAAUUGAGUUAUGAGUGGUUUUGAACUAAACCACUGCUCUACCAUCUAUCGCCGAAAAUUCAAAGUUUUUGUUGGAGCAAAUUUUGCAGAAAUUGAACUUAAGUUUAUAUUUUACAUUAAGUCUUACGCAGAAGCCAAACUUUAAACCUCUCUUUUUCGGUUUGAUUCCGAUGUGGCUUGGUUCCUUUCGGUUUAACUCCGUCCAGUUAUUAAUCGUGAUGCAGUUAAGAAAAAGAGAAAUCUGUACCUUCCAUUCGGUGUGCUUGAUCAACAUCUUGUGCCUCGCCAGGAACUGGAGGGAGAGUAUUGAACAGACCUCUACGACUUUUGGAUCCUGCAAUCAAAAUAACAUAGGAGAUGAACCGAAAGUAACAAAAAGUGUGUGUCUAUGAUGACAAAUAUUGAUGGAAUUAAAAAACAGUAAUAUAAUUUUAACUGGAAUUAAUUGAUUAAAAAAACCU